AGAGUUCCAUGUCUAGGCCUCUUUCCUUCCUGGGUCAGUACAUUGGUGGAGGAAGCUGUUUGAACAGGUAGAUUAGCCAUGGAGAGAUGGAUCUGGCUAGUGAUUUACUGUGAGCAUCCUGGGUACCAUUUCGAUCCUGGAACUUAGCCUGGAGGCGCUCCCUCAGACAGCUUCCUUGAGAUGGUCUCGUGUUCUUCCUCUGGAUGUGGAUAGUGUUCUUUCUCAUAAGUCCCUCAAGAUUGUCCUGGAUCACUGCAUUGCUACUAGUAGAGAAGUCCAUUACAAUCGAUUAUAC